AUAAUGUCAGGGUGUUUCAGGUCCACAUGUGUGUCUUUCGCCACUAUUAAGGUCACUGAAUAAGAUAACUAAAACACGAGGUGGUCAGUGAUCAACACAAAAUAAGGUCCUAAUUCCCACAAAGUUUUGACUGACUCGAUCAUAAAAACUGACUCAAACUGACUCAAAAGAAAAACAAAAGAAAGAAACAAGUUAGUAAACGACGAAAACCCUACCCCAGAAUUACUUCACACCGUCCCUGGUGUGAAA
rnacentral:lncRNA from 1 species